CUACGGGGGGCUCCAGUAGGGAAUCUUAGACAAUGGGGGAAACCCUGAUCUAGCCAUGCCGCGUGAGUGAUGAAGGCCUUAGGGUUGUAAAGCUCUUUCGCUGGGGAAGAUAAUGACGGUACCCAGUAAAGAAACCCCGGCUAACUCCGUGCCAGCAGCGCGCGGUGAAUACGGAGGGGGUUAGCGUUGUUCGGAAUUACUGGGCGUAAAGCGCGCGUAGGCGGGCUAUUAAGUCAGGGGUAAAAUCCCGGGGCUCAACCCCGGAACUGCCUUUGAUACUGGUAGUCUUGAGUUCGAGAGAGGUGAGUGGAAUUCCGAGUGUAGAGGUGAAAUUCGUAGAUAUUCGGAGGAACAUCAGUGGCGAAGGCGACUCACUGGCUCGAUACUGACGCUGAGGUGCGAAAGUGUGGGGAGCAAACAGGGUUAGAUACCCGCGUAGUC
rnacentral:rRNA from 1 species